CACGUAGGGUGCGAGCGUUGUCCGGAAUUAUUGGGCGUAAAGAGCUCGUAGGCGGUCCGUCACGUCGGAUGUGAAAUUCCAGGGCUCAACCCUGGACCUGCAUUCGAUACGGGCGGACUAGAGUUCGGUAGGGGAGACUGGAAUUCCUGGUGUAGCGGUGAAAUGCGCAGAUAUCAGGAGGAACACCGGUGGCGAAGGCGGAUCUCUGGGCCAUUACUGACGCUGAGGAGCGAAAGCGUGGGGAGCGAACAGG
rnacentral:rRNA from 1 species